rnacentral:rRNA from 1 species
UACGAAGGGGCUAGCGUUGCUCGGAAUCACUGGGCGUAAAGGGUGCGUAGGCGGUUUUAAGUCAGGGUGAAUCCUGGAGCUCAACUCCAGAACUGCCUUUGAUACUGAGAUCUUGAGUUCGGGAGAGGUGAGUGGAACUGCGAGUGUAGAGGUGAAAUUCGUAGAUAUUCGCAAGAACACCAGUGGCGAAGGCGGCUCACCUGGCC